GAGACUAUGUAAUGUGAAAUAAAUAAGACACACGUGUUUAAAUAUUGCAUGAUUUCUCUUAUAUGAUACCAAAAAUAUAAAGAACAAAAUAAACGAUGAUAAGAAAUAGAGAGAUAUUUUUAAAAAGGUAAGGAGAACAAGACAUGGAGGGAGAGGGGAGGAAUGGGAGAAGGGGAGAAAAACAAUUAAGAUGUGUUAUGUAUAUAUACCCACACCCCACAAUGAAUGUAUUCAUUACAUACUGCAAAUAUGUACUAAUAAAAAUAAAAAUUUCAAAAAAGCAGUAACUCAUGGUCCUACUUUACUAGCACAAAGCCACCAUCCCAGCUCUUAUAAAAAGCAGUAUCAGAAGAAAGAGCAAAUAAAAAUAAAUAAAUAAUACACUGCGUUGAUAUUUGUGUAACAAAAAAAGAGGGAGGAAGGGGAGAUUUAAGAGGGUGUGAGGGGCGUGUAAGUCAAAGCGGGGGAAAGGGAGUUUAAAUGUAACGUGAUGGAGGGCUCAGGGUACCUCGGUGUGGAAGGAAGAACGUUACCUGGACUUGGUAAUGACUAUGGAGGUCAGAGCAAUAAUCGGAUGCCUUCCUCUCAAUGUCUCACAAACACCCUCACCCCGACUUUCAAAAAGCAACACCAGAUAAAGAAAAGAAAAAACAAAAGCCCACGAAAACAAACAGUCCUCUCGCACACUACAGUCAGAACUGGACCAGGCCACUCUUUUCCUGUGUUCCAUACGAAGGGACCCUGCACGGCGGGGGGGCCGAGCCGCGGCCUGUGGUGCUGGCUGGGAGCUGGGUGUGCCCACCACGCUCCAGCUGGUUCCCUGCAAUCCACCUGUGCUCCUGUCUACCAAAGGCUAAAGGGGCUGGAGAAUGCCGACGGACCACCCAAACUGCCUCUCAUGCCCACAGGCGGCAGAGCGUUGCUGGAUUUCGGGCAGCUCCCCUACGUGUGCCCGGAUGGAAGCCUGGCCUCUGUCCUCUGACCAGGCGACCAGGCGCCUUCGAGUGGGUGGAGGUGGGCUGGGCACAGCGGGGCAGUCUGGCACCAGCCCGCUGUGCUCUGGAGCGGCUUCCCCUAUCUCAGUCCCCUUCCGUCCACACUGGUUCCUGCGGCCGUCUUCUUCUGCUCAUUCCAUGCCUUACGAGCACUGUGCUCUGCGCCAACCCUUCCGUGUCCCCUCUUCUCCAGGUUUUUCCACUGCAUUUUAAAACAAUGCCUCGUCGUAAAUCAGCACGCGCCGUAAAUCACUGCUUCAUUUUACGUCUAUGCCUCGCCACCUGUCUGCUUUUCAUCAGUGUCGUGGUGGCCACUGGCAGAAAAGGACUCCUUGCUUAUUGGGCCAUCCCCAGGGCAACGGGGCAGCUAGUCUCUCUGGAUUUCACCUGGAUACGUCCACUCUCGGGCUGUGAUCUCCUGAAUUUCGGUCUCCUUCCAGAGUCCCACAGGGGCAAUUCACCAGAAUUAGAAGAGACAAUUCUUUGGAAAUGCCAGAGAUCACACUGAACUUCCUUUUGGCAGGUAGAAAAAACUUUAUACUCUAGGUAUUUUGUUUAUUCUUUAAUAAAUUUAGAGAAAUAAUUUCAUUAUUAAAGUUAUUAUUUGUAUUUCUUUUAUUUUCAGGCUAACAUGUUUCAGCCAGUCACUCUGAGGAAUUAGAUACUAACAGAACCCUUUUGGAAGUCAGGUCACCUGAUAUUAAAUCGUGUCCUCUUUAGUGGGUGUUUCUACUUCUUCCAUGAAGAAACAAGUGCCAACAUCAAUAUGUCCAAUAAGGAUUCUUUUGCUCAGUUCAGAAGGAAAUCAUGAAUCAGUAAAGUAUUGUUCUCAGCUCCUAGUUCCAGUGGCCUUUGGUUCUUACAGUUACACAUCUCAGCAGCUCCGAGCUGUCCUAUCAGCUCUUCAGCAGCUGAGGUUUCCAGGCCCCCUUUGGCAGCUUUUUGGAUUUCUUCCACCAGCUUCUCCUGCCUCUUUGGGAUACUCCACAGAUCCAUUCAAGUCUCCCCUGUUGUCUACCAGUUGCCACAGCCAGUUGGUGCUGGCUGGUGACAGUUACCAUCAGUAGAUGCUGCUAGUCUCUUCUCGUCUCUGUGGCUGGUUGCUGCAUCGCGAUCUUCAUCCGUUGCUGCUGGUCUCUAGCACUCUUCCAGGCUAGCAGCCCGGAGUGUUACCAACUCUUUUCAGUGCAACCUGCUCUGUGCACAUUACCUGCUAAGAAUCAUGAGUAGUUUUAAGGACCACAGGAAUGAGACUUUAUUUGGAAUUGUGUUGCCACACAAACUGGUGGACACUGGAAGGUGCCCUCCUGGACUAAUCCAGGGGCCAUGAGGGAGCACUGCUACAGAAGGGCAGCAGACCACACAUGAUCAGUUUUGUACAUUUCUCAGACCUGCUUGAGAACUUUGUAGACAUGGGGGUGGGGAGGCAAAGGAUAAACAGGAGCCAUCAGGAGUGGCUGCAGGGCGGAGUCAUCUGGGAUUGGUCUGAGUUUCAAGCCUGCUGAGGCCUCAGCAAAUACCUCCUGGAAGAGCUGCAGGGCACUUAGGAGCACUCUGGCGGUUCUGAACUUUAGGACCAGAGGCUGCUUGAUUGACAAUUGUUGCCUCUUCUUGAAGAUAGUGGGGCUGAAAUUGAGACUUUCACCAAUUUUGAGAAUUCUUUAGCAGGAUUAGCCAUGUUCAUCAUAUCCUAUUAGGGUUUAGCAAUUUUGGGGAAAUUCACAAUGAGGCUAGUCCCUGCUCCAUCUUUGCCCUGUCAGGCAUGGUUUCUCAGCUGCCUUUCAAAGAGGGAGCAGCAAUUCCUGGAGCUGGGGAGGACAGCUGUCAUUCAAGCUGUGACUCCUGUGGACCUGGCCAGAGGGUGGCCGCCACAGCAGCCACAGAGGUGGUGGCCUCCUGGAGCUAAUCACCCCAGACCACCCUGGAAUAGGCACCAGGGAAGGCAAGGGGGGAGUGUGACAAGCUGCCAGUUGGAUUAUGCCUCCACCCGGCUGACACAGGGAAAAGAGAGGUGUCGGACCUCAUUUCUUUUUCAUCUCAGAAAUAGUUCAUUUUUAAUUGCCCCUCCAUUUCUUGAUUUUUAGGAAUUAUAACCAAGACCUGACACCCAGCCCUUGAAAAAUGAUGAAAGCAAGAAGAAGAAUACAUGACAGGAGUAAAAUGUGGGUUCUAAAGUAUGAAUCACUUGGGAGUUACGUGGAUAUUAAAAUUUUAUUAGCUCAUUCAAUAGAGUAAUUCCUAAAAUAUAUUUUCAGACUACAAGUUAAUUCUUGAAAAAUGAAUUAGAUCAUUUAUAUUGCAAGAUCCUUUAUAAAAUAUUUAAAAUUUUAAUUCCUAUUAAAUUUAGGAAAAGGGUCAUACUUCCCCUAUUUCUUUUUUUUUUUUUUUUCCAGUACUGGGGAUCAAACUCAGGACCUUACGCUUGCAAGGCAGGUGUGGUGCCACUGAUCUAAAUCCCUAGCUCUAGUUUUUAUUCUGAAUAUACACUGCCAAUUAUCAUUGUAUUGUAUGUUUUAAAUAAAUAUCCAUACCAUUUCUCCUCAUUCUUUUAGAAGCCAUAGUGACAGGUACCUCUUUUCAUAAACUUGUUUUUUGCAUCCAAACCUGUGAGCAAAUGAAAACUUUUUCUUGUUAUAAGUUGAUCAUGUCAUGUAUGUGCUAUACUGGCAGCAAGCUAACACAUUAUCUUUCAUAGAUGAGGAGAUGGAGCUCUAAAAUAAUCAGUCACCUGCUCAAGGUCACAUAGAUCCUGCCUUCACAGCCUCAAGUAGAAGGAUUACCCACCAGAACCAAAUCAAAAAAUGCUUUUAUAUAUUCAACAAGUAGUCACACCAAAUCAAAUUUUGGGAUUUUUUUUUCACUCUGAGUUUAUUUCAAAUGUGAAUUUCAGAAGAUGUGCAAUGUUGCUUUUGUGUCUUUGCAUCUCACUGUUUUUAACAUUUACAAUACGGUAUGAUCUCAAAUACAUUUAAGAAUGAAGUAGAAUUUUUUUCUUCUAAAGUAGUCAUUCAUUUUCUUUUAAUUGCUUUUCUAUAUAUCAAAUUACUUCCAGUUACCAUUAAAUCUCAUAAUGCCCAUCUGUGUAAAUACAUAUAGAUACUAUGCCAAAGAACUAUAAAACAGGGAGAAAUCCUUUUGGCAUUCACUAAGAUUUUCCAUUUCCUUUGAAUUUGAUUUUCCUUCUCUACUAAGCAAAAAUGAAAGCAUAUAAUUAGCUAAUUUGAUAUUCAGGGUUAAAUUUGCUAUUUUAUUUUCUAUAUUAAUUUCCUCCAACAUAUCUGUGGCCUCCAUUUUUAUGAAGAAGCAGCUCAUCCCAAUGAUAUUUAAACACUAAUUAUUUCCCUUUAAUGUCUGAAAAGGAGCACACACUCAAAUUUUAACUUUCCAGUUUUUUCUCUUUUAUUCCCCAUGGUGUUCUCAAGCCGAUUAAAUUACGUGCAGAAGAUGAUGCUGAGUUUGCUCACACAGCCUGCCAAAACAAACUCCUGCUAAAAUAGUAUGUCUACUUAUGUCUCACUAAGUAAACUAGCGCUCCUGAAGUUUUAUAAUUUGGUAUUAGAACUAAAAUUAAAAUGGUGUCUGGAAAUGUCAGACUGUUAAAUGAUACAUAUGAUGUCAUCUUACAAAAUUCCUCUACUUUAAUGUUACUUUGCUUGCCAAUUACUGUAUUGAAAAUUACUGUGUAUUAAGAACCUACAGAGUCAGCCAUAAAGAAUGAGAAACUAGCUAAAUGGAUGCACACUGAGGCCAUACUCUGAAGUGAAAUAAAUAGGACAAGCAUGUAAAUACUGAAUAGUUUCUCUGGUGUGAGAAACUGAAAGUGUAAAUAAGGAUUAAAAUGAAUAUUUGAUCAUGUGAAAUAGGAAGAAAAGGUGCAAAGAAAAGGGGAAGUCAGAAGAAGGGAAAGGAAAAAAUAUGAUAAAAGGAAAAAAAGGAAAUAAAGUCUUUGUAAAUAGGGAAAGGUGGAGG
rnacentral:lncRNA from 1 species